rnacentral:lncRNA from 1 species
UCCUCCCUCCAUCUUGAGUUUCCUGAGAGCGUCUCAGAUCUAAAACUCUUCCUUCUACUUUUCAUCUUUGGAAGAGUCCAAAUCAAGAAGAAGGAGGCACCUGAUCAACCAUCAAAGAAGGAUCAGCGCAGUACUAGCAUACUGUACUGAUUUCCUGAAGCAGGACUUCUGAUCGAGAUUCGUGGGCUCGUGUGGAUGACUCCUAGAGGUCGAACGCAUGUGCGGCUUGUAACAUCAUCCUUAAGCCCAGAUCAGUGAGGUUAGAAUGUCUAACUUGCAUGGUAAUAGAUCUGAU